UACGGAGGGGGGCUAGCGUUGUUCGGAAUUACUGGGCGUAAAGCGCGCGUAGGCGGACCUGCAAGUCGGGGGUGAAAGCCCGAGGCUCAACCUCGGAACUGCCUUCGAUACUGCGGGUCUCGAGUCCGGGAGAGGUGAGUGGAAUUCCUAGUGUAGCGGUGAAAUGCGCAGAUAUCAGGAAGAACACCAAUGGCGAAGGCAGCUCUCUGGGACGGUACUGACGCUGAGACGCGAAAGCGUGGGGAGCGAACAGG
rnacentral:rRNA from 1 species